rnacentral:rRNA from 1 species
AGUGAACGCUGGCGGUAGGCCUAACACAUGCAAGUCGAACGGCAGCACAGUAAGAGCUUGCUCUUACGGGUGGCGAGUGGCGGACGGGUGAGGAAUACAUCGGAAUCUACUUUUUCGUGGGGGAUAACGUAGGGAAACUUACGCUAAUACCGCAUACGACCUACGGGUGAAAGCAGGGGAUCUUCGGACCUUGCGCGAUUGAAUGAGCCGAUGUCGGAUUAGCUAGUUGGCGGGGUAAAGGCCCACCAAGGCGACGAUCCGUAGCUGGUCUGAGAGGAUGAUACGCCACACUGGAACUGAGACACGGUCCAGACCCCUACGGGAGGCAGCAGUGGGGAAUAUUGGACAAUGGGCGCAAGCCUGAUCCAGCCAUACCGCGUGGGUGAAGAAGGCCUUCGGGUUGUAAAGCCCUUUUGUUGGGAAAGAAAAGCAGCAGGUUAAUACCCCGCUGUUCUGACGGUACCCAAAGAAUAAGCACCGGCUAACUUCGUG